AUCGAAGUUGAUGGAUUAGCUGCCAAAGCCUUGGUAAAAUCAUUAACUCAUGUAUUGGCCUUGGUGAAUGAGGUACCAACUUCAUCGACAAAAUACCAAUUCAUAAUGGCAAUGGCUGAGAAGAUCAUGGAGGAUAAUGCAAGACACGGCCACUCGACUCUUCUCCAUAUUAAUCGAUCAGCUUUUACUUCGUCUUUUACUCGUACUUCCACCCUGUUACACCGCUGCCUGCAAUGCCAAACCUCACCCUCGGGAGACUACGGUGACUCAUGGCUCAUGCGAGUCAUCAAGCCUAUUCCUUCCAGAUUAUGCGUAGCUUCGUACGUGAAGGUCAUCGUCGUGUGCUUCGAUGCCACGUAUUUGUUGUUCGACGCUGCCAAGGUGCGUUACCGGGGGAGGAAUUACGGUGGAGAGUGAGAAAUAAUGGCUGAGAAGUUGGUAAGGAGUUGCUGUGGGUAACCAAAAACUUGGGUGUUAUGAGGAUGUUAAUAAAGCGUUAGUUCAAUGGAGUUUGGCUUCUCUUUAUCUCACUGCUAGUCCUACAGUUCAAGGCUCCAUUGUUAAGAUCUCAGCAUUUUUAUUUAGGGAGUUAACUCGAAAUGACUUGAGAAUUACAAGGCAAGUGAAAUUUAGGUUGGUGGUGCUUCGGAUUCCAUUGUUUUGCAAUGCUAGCAAUGGGCAUGCCUUUCCUAUUUUGUCGAGUUUUGAAAAGGAGGGGAUUCAGAGAAUAAUGAACCAAGUAAUAUCCAG